AAAUAGAACAACAGGCAUUUGAAUUGUGCCUUUGAAAUGUGCCUAAAAACCAUUGUUAUACUCGGCCCUGGGGAGUCCACAGAGGAGAGGAAAUUUAUACCACAGGAAAGAAUAGAGAGUGACUUUCCACGGAGUGACAUCAAGAGCAUGAAAUAGAUUCUUCUGGCUGAGGCCUAUUUUGCUAUAGCAGAUGCUUCUGGAUGGGAAAUACCUCAGUUAUCACCUAACAUCUUUAGACCAAACUCCAAUCAAGUCUGGAAUCACCACUGCUCUGAUUAUAAUGAUCUCUCUAUCUAAAAGAAGAAGUAGUAUUUCUCUGCUUCACAUAAUUGUAUUGUUUGAGCUUUGA
rnacentral:lncRNA from 1 species